GUUAGUCCAUUUGAUGAGAUUAUUGGAAACCAUAAACUGUGGUGAAUAAAUCCACCAAUGAAAUGUGAAAUUCUGAGACACAAGGCAUUGUCUGCAUAUUCCGCUUUGAGUAUCCUCCUCUUUCACUCCCCACCCGGUUUCUCCUGAAUAAUACACGAAUGCCCCCUCCCCUCCUGCCCUGCCGUCCAAUGGCAGGCACGCAUUUUAUCAAGCUAUCUCCUCUGAGCCAAUCCCGGUCCUCCUGGUGAUCCCUGUAAACCGGAUGCCCUCCCUCCUGCCUCUCAAACAGACGUAAUCUGUGGAUCCGAGAGGCAGGCGCUCAGUCGGUGGAGAGUUGGACUCGGACGGAAGUGAUGAGAGUGAAAAUACCCACUGUGGCAGACUUGAAGAAAACGCAUCAGUCCACCUCGACUGGACUCUGAAUCCUGCAGUUUUACCUGCAGCCGAGGAAGGGAAAUUGCGUGUUCACAAUGCACCUCUUGACGUCUGUGACUCCGUGAAGAUUAUUUCCAUCAGAUGCUGUUACGGCCGUGUUUGAAGUGGAGAUGAAUGAAGUUCCUCUGAUUAAUGAGGCGGUUGUAAUGCAAUAAAGCAGAUCCUCUCAGUUUGUGUUCCAGCUUCACCACACAUCACGAUCAUGUACACCAUAAGCAGAAGCAUGUUUGCCCUGUGGACAGUGGACUCAUUCUGCCACUGUCCUGUUUCAUUAUGUCCCUUUGCUGUGCGUCCUGACCUCUGGGCUGUGAGUGACAUCCUCGCCUCCUUUCCUGUCCCUCUGUCCUCCCUCCUCCACAUCCUGCCUCGUCUUGUCAC